rnacentral:rRNA from 1 species
AGUGAACGCUGGCGGUAGGCCUAACACAUGCAAGUCGAACGGCAGCACAGUAAGAGCUUGCUCUUAAGGGUGGCGAGUGGCGGACGGGUGAGGAAUAGAUAGGAAUCUACUUUUUCGGGGGGGAUAACGGAGGGAAACAUACGCUACUAGCGCAUACGACCAACGGGAGAAAGCAGGGGAUCUUCGGACCUUGGGCGACAGAAAGAGCCGGUGCCGGAUUAGAUAGUUGGUGGGGUAAAGGCCCACCAAGGCAACGAUCCGUAGCGGGUCUGAGAGGAUGAUCGGCCACACUGGAACUGAGACACGGUCCAGACUCCUACGGGAGGCAGCAGUGGGGAAUAUUGGACAAUGGGCGCAAGCCUGAUCCAGCCAUACCGCGUGAGUGAUGAAGGCCUUCGGGUUGUAAAGCCCUUUUGUUGGGAAAGAACAGCAGCAGAUUUAUCCCCCGCUGUUCUGACGGUACCCAAAGAAUAAGCACCGGCUAACUUCGUG